rnacentral:rRNA from 1 species
UACGAAGGGGGCUAGCGUUGCUCGGAAUCACUGGGCGUAAAGGGUGCGUAGGCGGGUCUUUAAGUCGGGGGGGAAAUCCUGGAGCUCAACUCCAGAACUGCCUUUGAUACUGAAGAUCUUGAGUUCGGGAGAGGUGAGUGGAACUGCGAGUGUAGAGGUGAAAUUCGUAGAUAUUCGCAAGAACACCAGUGGCGAAGGCGGCUCAUUGGCCCGAUACUGACGCUGAAGCACGAAAGCGUGGGGAGCAAACAGG